GCUAAUAACAUGGAACGGUACUGGACUCAACGAUGGUCCCAGUUUUCCUGAUGAAAGAUAUUUUACGUAAAAGAAGCAGGUACUUUAUUUCCACAUAAGGCCCUUAUUAACACAGGUCUGGUACUGUGUGUGUGAGACGCAUGGACACACACACACACACACACACACACACGUCAGUGUGUCCUGUUGAGUCUAGGCGACACCCGCUGUUUCUGUGACUCCACUAGUCAGUCAGUAGAGCUGCUGGGUCACACACACACAAGGGGGGCUGGAUGUUGUCAGGGGUUCCAGUAACCUGACUCUACCCCCAAGGUGCUGGGCAUACUUGCCCCCCUGUGCAACACACUAACACACUCAAUACACAUGGACACACUUACACACUCAAUACACACACGGACUUACACACACAAUAUACACACGGACACACACACUCAAUACACACACGGAGACACACAAACGGACACACUCAAUACACACACUGACACACACACACUGACACACACACGGAUAUACACACUCAAUACACACACGGAGACACACAAACGGACACACUCAAUACACACACUGACACACACACACUGACACACACACGGAUAUACACACACAAUACACACACGGACACACACACAUACACACACUGACACACACACGGACACACACUAAAUACACACAUACACACACACACGGACACACACACGGAUACACACACAUACACACUCAUUACACACACACACACACACACACGGACACACUCAAUACACACAGAUACACACUCAAUACACACACGGACACACACUAAAUACAUACACGGACACACACGGAUACACACACAUACACACUCAUUACACACACACACACACACACACGGACACACUCAAUACACACAGAUACACACUCAAUACACACACACACGGACACACACUCAAUACACACACACACGGACACACACUAAAUACACACACACACGGACACACACUAAAUACACACACACACACGGACACACACUAAAUACAAACACACACGGACACACACAAUACAGACACGGGCACACACAAUGGACACACUCCAUACACACACACACGGACACACACACGGAUACACACACAUACACACUCAUUACACACACACACACACACACACGGACACACUCAAUACACACAGAUACACACUCAAUACACACACACACGGACACACACUCAAUACACACACACACGGACACACACUCAAUACACACACACACGGGACACACACUAAAAAUACACACACACACGGACACACACUAAAUACACACACACACGGACACACACAAUACAGACACGGGCACACACUAAAUACACACACACACACGGACACACACUAAAUACACACACACACGGACACACACAAUACAGACACGGGCACACACUAAAUACACACACACACACACACUAAAUACACACACACACGGACACACACAAUACAGACACGGGCACACGCAAUGGACACACUCCAUACACACACGGACGGGGGACACACACCCUCAAUACACACAAACACCUCUGUCAGCCUCGAACUUCCCUGCUUAUGCACGCUAGACCCUUCCCACUGCCAAUAGGAGAGAGAGAAGAUAGUGAGGGUGUGUUCUCGAUCUCGACACAUCCACAGGAACCAGUGGUUUGCUGGAAGGGUCAGGGUCAAGGUGAGGGUUAUGGUAAUGGUCAGGGUCAAG
ensembl:lncRNA